ACAACAUUAGCAGAAAAGGAAUAGCUAACUAUCUGCCAUGGCCGGUAUGCGGAACUACACACAGGCCGUAUGCUUGGUAGCUCUUGUAGCCAUGGCCACCACUGUCUUCUCAUGUCAUGCAGCAGGGCGUUAUGUAGACCGAGCUAGUGGCAACAUUGCAUGCAAAGCUAACUGUGUUAACUGAGGUUAUGACAAGGAUAAGAGCAGUUGCAUGGAAGGCAGUAGUAGCACAUGUUGAUGCCGAAAGAACUGAGAAGUACCAUGAAAUGAGUUUAUAUAUGUACUAGAAAUAUUGCCUGGAGGUGAAUGCUUAUAUUGUUUGUGUGAAACCUGAUUCAGUUCAUACAAAUAAAUUAAUAAUAAGCUAAUGAUAAUUGUUUAUUUA